UCGACGAUGAUCCCAGCUUGCUGGGGGAUUAGUGGCGAACGGGUGAGUAACACGUGAGUAACCUGCCCUUAACUCUGGGAUAAGCCUGGGAAACUGGGUCUAAUACCGGAUAUGACUCCUCAUCGCAUGGUGGGGGGGUGGAAAGCUUUUUUGUGGUUUUGGAUGGACUCGCGGCCUAUCAGCUUGUUGGUGAGGUAAUGGCUCACCAAGGCGACGACGGGUAGCCGGCCUGAGAGGGUGACCGGCCACACUGGGACUGAGACACGGCCCAGACUCCUACGGGAGGCAGCAGUGGGGAAUAUUGCACAAUGGGCGCAAGCCUGAUGCAGCGACGCCGCGUGAGGGAUGACGGCCUUCGGGUUGUAAACCUCUUUCAGUAGGGAAGAAGCGAAAGUGACGGUACCUGCAGAAGAAGCGCCGGCUAACUACGUGCCAGCAGCCGCGGUAAUACGUAGGGCGCAAGCGUUAUCCGGAAUUAUUGGGCGUAAAGAGCUCGUAGGCGGUUUGUCGCGUCUGCCGUGAAAGUCCGGGGCUCAACUCCGGAUCUGCGGUGGGUACGGGCAGACUAGAGUGAUGUAGGGGAGACUGGAAUUCCUGGUGUAGCGGUGAAAUGCGCAGAUAUC
rnacentral:rRNA from 1 species